ACACUCCGUCUCAAAACAAAAAAAAAGAAAAAGGAAAAAGAAAAAAAGAAAUGUAUAUCUUCAGUCCAAAUCUCUUCUCCCACUUCAAAGCAUUAUAGUUCUCCUCUAGCAAAAUCUUCUUCCUUCUCCUUUGAUACCUUCAUCCUUCAACAGCAUAUUCUUUCUGUACACCAGUAUCUUCUACAUACUGAGGGAAUUUCACAGCUCCAGUUUCUUUAGUUCAUAUUUCUUUCCUUCCUUGACUCUGUAGACCUUCAUCCCCAUUCCACUAGCCAAGCUCCUGCAGAGCCUUUACUUUGUUUUUCUCUUCACAAUAACUGACCCCUGAAUUCUUUAAAUCAGAAAUCCUUUAAGAAAUUAUCCUUUAAGAUAAUUUAUUUUGUACAUGCCACAUUUCCUGCUUUUACCUCACAAAGAUUAACUAGGUAGUCACCUUCAUCAUGACUUUAAGUUACCAAACCAUUCCCUCUUUCUCAGGCUAACCUUUACCUCCUUGCCUCCCAACACCCUCUUCAAAUUCCAGUGUAUUUGUGAUGUGUUCAGCUUCAGAGAAGAGAAACCAUAACGAAAAGAGGCUUAAACCAGGCUAGUCUGAUGGUAGUGGGUUAUCAGAAUUUAUUAACACUGUUGUCACUAAAGUUGGUAUAUAACCCCCCAUUGCUAAAUUGGACUGGAUUUUAAGAAGAAAAAAUAAAUAAGUAAAAAUUUUUAAAAAGUGGCUCACAUCAAAAUUCUCUGAGAAUAGGAAAUGGUUAAAAGUAAGCUGAGAUAUUUAUCAUUUAGUCUUGGGUAGUCGCUUGAGGCACAGAUUGUCUCCAGUUCUAAGCAGCUUUGUCUAGCUACCCACAUGUAGCAUAUGAGUAUGUGUGGUGAGACACGGAAAAGGGUCGGAAGCACUGGCCUAAAGAAAUAGGAGUUUACUGGCUCAUUUUAUUCCCAGACCAAACCGAGGGUCGGGCUGCUUAUUCUCAUGGCCCAAUAACAAGAUGCAGAUGAACUGGGAGAGAAGAGAGUUUAUAUCUGUAACUGGUUACAGGGAGAAGGCCUGGAAAUUGUCACCGACCAAAUCAAAAUUACAAAGUUUUCCAGAGCUUAUAUAUAUUCAUCUAAAGACAAAAGUGAUUAACUUCUUAUAAUCUAUAACUAAGAUGUGAAUCCUAAAGACCUUCCUCUGGAGCCUCAGUAAAUUUACUUAAUCUAAAUGGGUCUAGAUCCUGGGGUGAUUAUCCUUAUUUUGUCUACUGCUAAGCUAUGGAGGUUUGGGGAGUUCCUUUAGUCCCCAGUAAACUUGUUUGUGGAAGUCUGGGGAGUUUCUUCAGGCCCCCAAUAAAACUUGUUUAAUCCUAAAUGGGUCCCAUUAAGAAAUUCCUUCAUUACCUUACCAUGCUUUAAGGCCCAGAAAAGGCCUAGGCAAAACUCUUAGUGGGCUUUUGUUACAUUCCAGCCUUUGUAUAAGGGCACUGGCUCUAUCAGCUUUUAAUAUUUAACUUAACCACUCAGUUAGUACUGAAACAGUUGUUAUGAAGGCCUGUGUUAGUGAGACCUGGCCUGCCACAAGGUGACACAAAUCCCAGGGUAGAAGUUCUGGGCUGAUACUUACAAUGCCAUUGGGCACCCAUGCACUCUCUACCUUUUUGGUCUGCCAUCCUUACCAUACUGUCAUUUUUCUUUUACUCUUUGCCUCAUGGUACCAAAUGACAUCAGUGCCUCUAGGCCUCAAAACCACAAACCAGGCAAAAAGAAGAGAGGGAAAGUAAUGGCACCAAAUCACAUUUGCUUAUAAUCCAUUGGCUAGAAACAUAUCACAUGGCCACCAUAGUUUCAAGAAAGGGUGAGCAAUUGAGUCUUUAGGUUUUACAGACACCCUAAUAAAGUAAAGAAAAAGGCAGGUGGGAAAUGGAGGGAGUGGAGUGGGCAUUAUGGGAGCUGUGAUGGUUAAUACUGUCAACUUGAUUGGAUUGUAAGAUGCAAAGUAUUGACCCUGGGUGUGUCUGUGAGGG
rnacentral:lncRNA from 1 species